ensembl:snRNA U2 U2 spliceosomal RNA
GUCUCUUCUCUGCCUUUUGGCUAAGAUCAAAUGUAGUAUCUAUUCUUAUUUAUUAUUUUUAAAAAGUUGUCUAAGCAGACAAAUUACAGAUGUAUCAAUAGCUGGAUGUAUUUUCU